rnacentral:rRNA from 1 species
UUAAAUUGAAGAGUUUGAUCAUGGCUCAGAUUGAACGCUGGCGGCAGGCCUAACACAUGCAAGUCGAACGGUAACAGGAAGCAGCUUGCUGCUUUGCUGACGAGUGGCGGACGGGUGAGUAAUGUCUGGGAAACUGCCCGAUGGAGGGGGAUAACUACUGGAAACGGUAGCUAAUACCGCAUAACGUCG